rnacentral:rRNA from 1 species
UACGUAGGGUGCGAGCGUUGUCCGGAAUUAUUGGGCGUAAAGAGCUCGUAGGCGGUGUGUCGCGUCGGCCGUGAAAACCUGGGGCUCAACUCUGGGCGUGCGGUCGAUACGGGCAUCACUUGAGUUCGGCAGGGGAGACUGGAAUUCCUGGUGUAGCGGUGAAAUGACGCAGAUAUCAGGAGGAACACCGGUGGCGAAGGCGGGGUCUCUGGGCCGAAUACUGA